GAGAAACUAGUUAAAAUAUAAUAUAGGAUUGUCAAUCCUAAGUUACUUUCUAGUGUAUCUCG
rnacentral:tRNA from 1 species